AUAUGCAUAUCGGCAGCCACGUGAAUACAGAAUAUUCGAAAGAAUAAACUCAACAAUUGAAUCUUAUCAUUUGCUUUUGAUUGACGCCAACCGACAUUCAUUGUUGCCAGCUUCCGCAUACCCAACACGACCAGUCUUUAUAAGGUGUGCGAGUCCAGCAACUACGAACGUUAGCAGCAGACAGAACAUCGCUUUUUCCGAGAAGAGAAGAAACUUGGCUGACUCCUUACUUAAUUGUAACACAUUCAAUUUACUGUCACGGCAACUUAGACAGGUAUUACUUUGCAGAAAGCCAAUAAAAUGCCGAACUAAAUCGUGAAAUAACGGAGACAACAUAGUUGGCUACUUGUGUCACCAGCAGUUAUUUUCCCAUGCCACCAUGCGAUUCGCAGCUAACGUUAGCUACUACUAGCCUUUCACAUCCACGUGUAGGCACCGCGUGCUGGUUUGCUAUGUUUUGUGUAUGAAAAAGGCCAAAGACAAGUGGUACAAGUCAUUUUUAUUUGGCCACAUGUAUGCAGAAAAAUGAUGUAUCAAAGCCGUACCUCAUUGAAUGUGUUUGCGGUCAGAAAGUCCGUGUUGCCGGUGAGUAUACGCUCAUCUUUUCUACGCCACUGCGCCGCCAUUUUACAGAUCCUCACAUGGCUUCGUUCAGCUAUAGCUAGGAGCGUUGCCAUUGGUCAGCGCACAGACACGUGGUCACCAGAACACGGAAUUUGCCGGUAAACGCAGAUCUGGGAUCAAUGUAUCUUGCUCAAAUCAUAACCAAGUACUGUUUUGCAAUAAGCGCAAAACUGACCGGAAAUCAGAUCGUCAUCCGAUUCGCAUAUCUUUGAUAUGUCAAAUGCUAUUGCUGUCAUGCACCUGCACAGUAGUUAUCUUAAUCAUGUCAAAGUCAACGCAUGUGUCAUAUUGCCUGAAACGAAGAACGGAUUUUAUACCUGUCAAAUAAAUGUUUUCUAGUUUUAUGCCUACCCAACUGCAACGCCAGAGUGGCAGUUUGAAGUUUGACUCAAAUACAAAAAAUAAUUUAUAUAGCUGAGUCAAAUCUGAUAUUUUUCCUGCAGUCUGCACAGACAAAAAGCACAUGGAAUCAGAUAUUUCAAGCCACAUUUUGAAAUCACAUAAAUCUGAUUCCUGGCCAUGUGACUUGUCUGAAAGGUCAAAUGCCCAUAAGUGGUUUCCAGACUGUGAUUUAGCAUAUAUUGUUGGUUGUUAGCUACUCUGUUGACAGUUUGACAAGAACAUCUGGUAGCUCACAAGUUUGUUCAUUGUUUGAAUGUGCUAGUAAGCUAAACAGCUACAUAGCUAGCUAGUUGAAUGCUGUGGCUAGCCAAAAAGGACUCAUUUUGAAAGUUGGAUCAUCUUAUCCUUUGAGGCUUUAAAAGUGUUCUUACACUAAGAUUUCAAACAUUCAAAGCAACUGGGGGAGACUUUCAUAUCGAACAUUAAAAGCAUCUGGGGUAGACUUUGCAUGCUACAAAACAACUUCUGAUUGAGAGGAAGAAUGGGCACCACCACCAAUCAGCCUAUGCCCCUGCACACACCCGCCAUUACCAUGACAACUAGAGUAGCCAUGUCAGUCUGAACACAUCUGACAUUUGAGCAUUAAGGAACAGAUAUUUCACCUGGUGUAUAAAUGUGAAGCAUCCGCUUGGCGUUUCCACUCACUACCAAAUAUGGUAGUGAGAGGAAGCCCAGUGGCUGGCAAUGGGAGAAGAUGGAACGAGAUGGAUUUUGGCAGACAUUCUGCAAAUCUUCUCAUCGAUUAAACAUUUGAUCUCAAUACAGUUCUGUUCCCAAUACUUUAAACUGUUACGAACAGAGAGGACUACGUUUUGUAGACUUUACCAUUGUCAAAGUUUCCAAAAAUUGCAUCGUUUAGGAGUGCAAAGGCGAAUUGAGUUAUUGCACGGGUGCACUUUACAGAGUAGGUGUUCCCUAACGGAAAUAUGAUGCCCCCAAAAUACUUCCCCCAGCUAUGUCUGCACCUGUUACGAAAAGUCACUUCUAGUCGUAGCUGUAUCGAAGUGGUAUGUUUUUAGGGGGUCCAGUAUACCUCUGUUUUACACCUCAAAUUAUAAGGUUGGUUGUUUAGCAACAAAACUGAUGCGUGCGCAACUAUGGGGCAAAACACACUGGGUUGGCUUAGAUUGUUGACAACAUGGAAACUAGAUUUCAUCUCCAAUGUUUAUUGAAAAGAUAAAUACAUUUGCACAAUGAGCACUUGUUGUCUCUCAAAUACAUCAUUACAGUUGCUGGUUAGAUAACUAGCUGAAAAGAGCCACAUACGAUUCCCCACAAGGCAGCUUCUUGUCAUUGUUGCUAGCUAUCUGGCCAUCCAGAAUCACAACACACGACCUUCUGCCCGUGGUAAACUAACCCAUCGAUUGUUAUUCUUAAUUAUUACAAAAGUGCCAUCUAGUGGCAUGAGGAUGCACAAUCAAAAAUAAUGUAUGCUCCAGAAUGUGCAGAAAUCUCAAUCCACAAUAUUCUGAACAGCUUCCAGUUUGAAGUAGACUUCUUAUUGCAGAUGUUUGCUCCCGGAGUUAGCUAGCUAACUUAAUCGCUAGUUGAUUACUACAUUUUACCUCCAUUGUUAACAUUGUUUUUUUUUGUGGUUAAAGCUAAUAACGUUAUCACAAAGUGUCGCUCAAAAGUACUGUCAACGUUAUGUUGCUAAGGAGUUCUGGGACCACCUGCGCUGUUCAAGGCUACAACUACGAUUUAGAUGCACUAUUGUAAAGUGGUUGUUCCACUGGAUAUUAUAAGGUGAAUGCACCAAUUUGUAAGUCGCUCUGGAUAAGAGCGUCUGCUAAAUGACUUAAAUGUAAAUGUACAACCAGGCGAAUUUAACCUAUGGCAAAGUCAACAAUGCUUUUAUCAUAUACACCAUUAAAAAGGUCAGAAUGCACAUGUCCACCAUGGCACACAUUCGUCUACCAACUGCGGAAGAAGACAAGCAAUUGUGGUUGCGAAAUCUCAAAUUAAAGAAAACACCAAAGACUCGUUCCACUUUGUUGACAAAGUCGAGAACCCUUACCCAACGCUAUGACUAGGCUACGAUAGAGCUCCAGAGAAGAAACGGCAACGACAGUUGCAAAGAGUUACUGACAACAUUACGACAGAAGGUGACUGUAGUCAAGCAGGGGCGAGUGGGUCACCUCCUGCACCCCAGGGCUUCUCUGAUGCUCAAACACAAUGGAUGGAUCCUAUCCUGGAGGACCACAACUAUUGCAGUCAACUAUACAGAUCAGCAGUGCCAUGGAGAUGACCCAGAUGUCUAUGGUGGCAGGUGCAGUGAUAAACACACAACACAGCACUCAGGCUUUUCUGGGUUACCUUCGCUCUGGGGAUGAGGCGACUGGGGGUCGUGGAUUUAACAUCCGGGACGUACCGGAUGAACGUAGAGUGACCUUGGUCAUUCCAGUGUUCACGUGCAAAGGAGGGCAGCUCACCUGUGAGGUGACCAACGCUCGGCGUAUUGCAAACGUCCGCAUCCAUGUCGAAAGGGCAAUACGGCAUUUGAAAGACUGUGCCAAUCACACUGGUCUCCAAAAUCGAUUAAAUACUACAGAUCUGUGCUGGCCUUGUGAAUCUGAGGGGGGAGCUUAUUUCCAGCAAGUAGUGUGGGGUGGGGGGUACUAGUAACCUCAUUAACUGCAAUGUAUUGUUCAAUGUAACUUACUUAAUUUUUAUUUGAAAACAUGAAAUACAGUGACUCAACCAAAUGAUGUUCAACUUGCUAGUAUAUUUAACACUGACAGACGGCAACCUACGUUUUUUAUUCAUAUUUUGUUACAGUAGUGACAUAUCAUAACUAAAUGAUUAGGCAACUGAUAAGAGAAUUAUCUAAUAAAUGUAAAUGAAUCAAUAAACCAUGAUGAAUUAUUAGUCAUACAGCAGGUUUAAUGAAUAAUCAAUGUAAUGAUCAAUGUAGGGAUCGAUUAGUCUGAUUAGUUCCGGAAAGUCCAGGAACCACUGGAGAGGGAAAGAAAUGUGUGUAUGCAAUUAGGAGGGACACCAGGAGACAGAUGGUCAAGGGAGUAAAAGCUUCAAAGAGUUCUUAAACCUUGAGGGAAAAGAACAGGCUGAGCUCUGGAUAGUGAUAAACAGUGUGAGAAGUUUAUGGGGGAUGCAGGUCACCAACUGAUUGUGUGUAAAUGCAUGUGCGUAAGUAAGCAAGAACUAUAUAAUGACUGUUUUGUUAUCCUGACCUCAGAACAUUCUCAUGAAUAAAGCUACAGAAACCUU